GUCCACACCGUAAACGAUGGAUACUAGGUGUAGGAGAUAUUAAGUCUUCUGUGCCGUCGCAAACGCAGUAAGUAUCCCACCUGGGGAGUACGGCCGCAAGGUUGAAACUCAAAGGAAUUGACGGGGGCCCGCACAAGCAGUGGAGUAUGUGGUUUAAUUCGAAGCAACGCGAAGAACCUUACCAGGGCUUGACAUAUAGAUGAAUAUAUAAGAGAUUAUAUAGCUCUUCGGAGCAUCUAUACAGGUGGUGCAUGGUUGUCGU
rnacentral:rRNA from 1 species